GGGUAUGGCUGUUCGCCAUUUAAAGUGGUACGCGAGCUGGGUUUAGAACGUCGUGAGACAGUUCGGUCCCUAUCUGCCGUGGACGUUUGAGAUUUGAGAGGGGCUGCUCCUAGUACGAGAGGACCGGAGUGGACGAACCUCUGGUGUUCCGGUUGUCACGCCAGUGGCAUUGCCGGGUAGCUAUGUUCGGAAGAGAUAACCGCUGAAAGCAUCUAAGCGGGAAACUUGCCUCAAGAUGAGAUCUCACUGGGAUCUUGAAUCCCCUAAAGGGCCGUCGAAGACUACGACGUUGAUAGGUUGGGUGUGUAAGCGCUGUGAGGCGUUGAGCUAACCAAUACUAAUUGCCCGUGAGGCUUGACCAU
rnacentral:rRNA from 1 species